rnacentral:tRNA from 1 species
UGGCUCAGACGGUAAAGAAUCUGCCUGCAAUGCAGGAGACCCAGGUUCGAUCCCUGG